GAUGAACGCUGGCGGCGUGCCUAAUACAUGCAAGUAGAACGCUGAAGGAGGAGCUUGCUCUUUUGGAUGAGUUGCGCACGGGUGAGUAACGCGUAGGUAACCUGCCUGGUAGCGGGGGAUAACUAUUGGAAACGAUAGCUAAUACCGCAUAAGAGAAGAUGUUGCAUGACAUUUACUUAAAAGGUGCAAUUGCAUCACUACUAGAUGGACCUGCGUUGUAUUAGUUAGUUGGUGGGGUAACGGCUUACCAAGGCGACGAUACAUAGCCGGCCUGGGAGGGGGGACGGCCAAACCGGGACUGGAGCACGGCCCAAGCUCCUACGGGGAGCAGCAAGAGGGGAACUUCGGCAAUGGGCGGAAGUCUUGACGAACAACGCCGCGUGAGUGGAGGAGGUUUUCGGGUCGUAAAGCUCUGUUGUAAGGGAAGAACGAGUGUGAGAGUGGAAAGUUCACGCUGUGACGGUAUCUUACCAGAAAGGGACGGCUAACUACGUG
rnacentral:rRNA from 1 species